UGGGGAAUUUUGGACAAUGGGGGAAACCCUGAUCCAGCCAUCCCGCGUGUGCGAUGAAGGCCUUCGGGUUGUAAAGCACUUUUGGCAGGAAAGAAACGUCAUGGGUUAAUACCCCGUGAAACUGACGGUACCUGCAGAAUAAGCACCGGCUAACUACGUGCCAGCAGCCGCGGUAAGACGUAGGGUGCAAGCGUUAAUCGGAAUUACUGGGCGUAAAGCGUGCGCAGGCGGUUCGGAAAGAAAGAUGUGAAAUCCCAGAGCUCAACUUUGGAACUGCAUUUUUAACUACCGGGCUAGAGUGUGUCAGAGGGAGGUGGAAUUCCGCGUGUAGCAGUGAAAUGCGUAGAUAUGCGGAGGAACACCGAUGGCGAAGGCAGCCUCCUGGGAUAACACUGACGCUCAUGCACGAAAGCGUGGGGAGCAAACAGG
rnacentral:rRNA from 1 species